rnacentral:rRNA from 1 species
AAGAAGGAAAGGAAAGCAGCCGGAGCUGCUUUCACGUGGAUGCAAAGGAACUUUGCGGAUUGCCUUGCGGAUGCCACUGAUGAUGUGAUACAGACACAUGCUCGUGUCUAUAUGUGGUACGUUGUCUCAAGGACUUUGUUUCCUGACUCGAUAGGCAAGAACGCUCCAUGGAUGUGGCUGAAGGCAUUGACCGUCUUCGAUAGCGGAUGGAGUUGGGGUUCAGCGACUCUUGCUUACUUGUACUGA